UUUGCCCCCAGCUCGGCCUCGCUCCGGGCGCACCGGCGGCGGCACCUGCGCUUGUCCCGGCCGCCCGCACUCAGCGUGCUGCGUGUCCUCGGCCCGGCGGUGCGGGAGAGGCCGCUAGCCCAGCACGGCCCCGGCUGGGUAACGGGGCUCCGCCGUUAGCCCCGGGCUCUCCGCCGCGGCCGAGGCACCGCGGUUCCCGCAAGACAGCGUCUCUCCCUUGCCCUGUGCUCGGAAAGACCUCGCAGCGUGUGCUGCUUGUGUCUUUCCCUCGCCACCUCCACGGCAUCGCUAUAGCGCAGCUCAUCCCGAGCCUUUCAACUAUAUUUGGGGGGUUUGUGUGUUCUUUCCCCCCCUUUUUUUCUGUUCUCUUGGGUCACACGUACUCUGACACGGUAACACAAGCCCUAUGCUCCAGCGGGAGCACCGGUAACCGGUCUCAGCACACGGGGACAGUUGUUUAUUUCCCUCCGAACAGAGCUACCGGACAGCGGAACGGGGACAGGGGGUUCAUCUCCUCGCGAAAAUGGCCAAAGGACACCGGGACAAGCGAAGGGACGGAGAGAUAAAUAAGAAAACACGUUAACGUAGCCGGAUAAAAGCCCGGCCGGACUAUUCCUCCAGUGCAAACACCGUACGCUCCCAUCCGAGCUGGCCGCCAAGUGCGGGCGAGGGGACACAGACCUGAGCACCCCUCCGCAAAGAAUUAAUUGCCCCUCACCUCCUCACACGCACUUUUUCAUGUUGCCACAUGCACACCCCCUCCUCCUGCAGCAGAAAUAAUAUAUGUGGCUAAUGCCGCAGGUGCUGAGGUGACUAGAAAGUUGUAAAAAGGCACAGAGACUUGACAGUGUCCUGCUCGGAAACCUGGUGUACCAAGACCCCCCGAACGGAGAUAGGCUGCGGCUCAAUUUCAAAGACAAGGCUGCAGCAUUCCCACUGAUCCUGACAGAACAAACCCGACCUUUCCCCGAAAUAGGGACCAGGAGCGACUGGAAAGACAGAAAGGGGGAAAGGAAUCUUUUCCCGUUAAAAUGUGGGGAAACUGCCUUAUGAUUUCCAAAUAACCCAGAGCCGAGGAGGUCACCUUUCGGGGAGGGUGGGCGUUCAAAAUACAGAAUAGCCACAGAUUGUUGCUGAUGUUGAAUUUCUGUAGGAGGAAUAACAAUAAUAAUAAAAAACCCGAAACCCCAGCCCAACACCAACCUUUCCUGCCUCAAACCUGACAAAGUAAACAGGAUUAAUUCACCAUAUGAAAAAAUUACAUUAACGCCGUCUUAACAAACGUAGAAAUCAGAAGAGAAAGCGGGUUUAACAGGACGGACAAUAUUAAUAGUUUGAACGUAGGAUCGUAAAAAUGAAAAGCCAUUGAUACACGCUUAAAAGCCGCCGUAUACGCUGAUUGCUCAAGCAUUAAUGAAGAAUGCCCCAGAUUAACUAUUUGCUCUUCGAGGGAUGGAGUAAUAUAACUAUCUAUUAGCACCAUUAGAUGCUUUGCUAUUUAUUUGAAAACACCCCUGCGAGUGGGUUGAGGCAGAACAGAUGAAUGUAAAAAUGAACUGCAGCUAAUUUCGCUCAAUAAUCCUCGAAACCUGAGCGCCUCGCAGAGCAGGGGGACAUUCUCCACCGUCCUUCUCCCAGCCUAAUGACAAUAGGAACGCUCUGUUUUAAAAGUAAGAGCGUAUUGGUUUCCCAAAUAAACAAACGCAUCCCUCCUGCCAUUUUACUGCAGAUGUAAAUUUAUUUUAAUGAGAGGGAGUGGAAGGAUUUAUUUUGCUAAAAUAGAGUUGGGGAGAGAGCCGGUGUAAAUCUUUAGGUUUAAAAAAAUAGAGAAGAAGGGGAAGCUGCUUUCCUGGCAGAAAGCUGCAUAACAGUCCUCUAAUUCUUUCUAGAUUAAAUCGCAAUAUGAAUACAGCAUCGAAUAAAUACCGAGUUUCGCUCUGAACUCAGUGGAAAGCAGUUACGUCUAACAGAAUUCAAUGAAUUCCUCUUCUCCCUCAAUGUAGUAUGUGUGUGUUUUUCUCUUCCACCACACUGAAGUUCCAUGAAUAGGGAAAGUGGCUCCUAUUGUGUGCCUCUGAACUUCCAAGUCAAUGCAAUUUUUAACCACUGGCUUGUGGUACUUUGAAAAUCACCAGGGGCUGUCAGAGUUGGGUCCUCUGAAAAAUUUACAGUGCUAAAUCAGAGCAUAUGCUGUGAGAGAGGAAAAAAAAUUGCUUAAGAUUGGAGCAAGUACAGUAUCCGGCUGCCCCCUAGUGUAAGUCUCUUAUCUGCCUAAAAUUCAACUUUAAAAGAAAAGGAUCUCUUAAAGGGAAACGACUUUUGGCUCACGUAUGCGUACGAGAAUGAAACUUCUGUACAUUUUAAUCUGAUUAAUUCCUAAGGAUUUUAAAUUAAUUGGCUUGGGCACUCCUAGACCGGACUAUAAGAUUUCUGCAGCAGGGUUUCUGCGAGCGCUGCACCGAAUAGAGCAAAACACUUUUGCUGCUUAAAGUCACAUCUACGCCUUUUGCGAUAAUCCUUUAAAAAAUAUCCAUUAAAAAAAAAUGAAGGAGAAAUAAUUGCUUUAAAGCCUCGGCCGAACUGCCAACCACACCUUCGGAUGUUAGAAGGCAGAAAUACGCGAACUCCUGAGAGAGGUGGGUACUUUUUGGGCCUGCCUCAGACAUGACAUAAAUAGAGAUUGAACUAUCAGGGAAGAGAAAAGAAUAUAAACCCAAACCCCUGGACAGGAAUAGACACAGGCAGAUAUAUAACUGCAUAUGGACAAUGUUACGUACCGUGUUCGGAGAUGGUAACAAGAAAUAAUAAAUAGAUCGCAUAUUUAUAACCUUAUAAUUAAAAUACAUUCUUAUCUCUCUCCUCUGAAAGGUUGCAGCUUUCUUGGAUGUAUUUUGAUUGCAUAUUUUAAAGUCUGUGUCCCGAAUUGAAUUGAGAUGAGCUGUUUUACCCAAGAGUAAACCCCUUGUUUACAAUUUGAUGUUUAAGUUUCAACUGCCUAUCAAUUGCCGUAUCAUUUCCUUUGUAUUUUAUCUCCUUGCACUUGGAGACUUUAUUUAAAAUGGUGUUAGUUUCUAGCAAAUGCUAAUUUCUGUGUAUCGGAAAUUAGCCAAUAUUAUCCAAAACAAUCCCUGUGUUUGGCUGAGGCAAAUUGGAUGAGAUUUUUUUCCCAUUCAAAGGGUUAAAGCUAAACUGAAAACUUUAAAGCCAAGGGAUACCAGCAAACAGUAAAAAAUGGCACGUCUGCUCUCUCUUGACAAGCUUGCAUUAUAUCAAAUGUAAGGAAGCCCAGUUUUCUGAGUCUAAGACCAGUUUUAGUUUUUAAUAGGAAAUAAUUACAUGGAACUUUAUUUCCAGAGAGAACGUCCCUUCCAGCUACAGUGUUUUGCUUUGAUCUAAGUAUUAACUGGUAAUAAAAUAACCAUAUUUUGGAUCCUAAGCAUAUUGAUGCUUAAAGGAAUGUUAUGCUUUCAAUCAAAAUCUAACUUGAGAUUAUCCAAAGGUAUUCAUCCUUCUUUUGUCAGAAACCAAUUUGCUCUCUUAUUCCUACAGCUACUCACAUGUGGUUUAGUAUACUUUAGCUGUUUUUUUAUAGUAGAAUUUGCACUAUCGAGGUGGAAAACUUUUAAAUGGAGAGAGAUCAUGUUCCAGCCUGGUAAUUUGGGCUGUUUCUCAUAGAGCGACCCAGUCCAGCCCUUCUUUACACUUGUUGUACACCACCAGCAUCGCCCAUCUCCGAGGGUGACUACCGCAAACGUCUCUGCAGCAGGAUUUUGGUUUAAAUCUUCAGAUUUUUUUUUUGUUUCUUUUUAAAACCUGCAGAAUCAAUCAUUUGGACCCAUCCUGAACAAUUAACCUCGUCUUUAUAUUACAGCCCCAAGCACAGUACUUCAUAAAGACAUGAAAAGGACAUCCCAGACAGCAGGACCCGAUCCCAGGCUUGUCACAGAGUAUAAAAGGAGAGAGAAGGGGAGUUUUUAUCUCUUUGCCCCACCAAUUCUUAACAGUUCUAAGUUUCAGUGUGACAAUAAACCAGUUUUGAUAACAUAGCUCAUGGGUUUCCCUGCCACAUAAAGUUUUCUUAAUAAUAAAAAAGAAGAAACUUUAUCCCUGCUAAAUUAAAAUAGGGCAGAUGUUGGAUAUGGUUCAUAUUAGCCAGCCUUUCACCCUUUUGCCCCUGGCACUAAAGUUCUGACUUUUUCUUUCCACUAUGUCUGCUUCUAACUGAAAGGUAUUAUUCCUGCCCUAGCCCUCUUCUUCUAUUUAUUUUUUCAGCGCCUAAAAUUAAACCUAUUCAUUUAGUAAUAUACAUUCUAUUGCAGAUUGCUAAAUCUGGGCAGAGAGGGGAAACGUUUUGCUAAAAGUGAUGCACCACUGACCUUAAAAGAAAACAUGAAGCAGGGAAAGCUGUUCUGAAAAGGUUUAUUUCAGGAGAAUUUUGUAGCUCUGUUGACAUUAUAAGGAUAAUGGCUGUAUUGCAAUGCGCUUUCAAGGCCCAAGAGGUUUAUGUUUUCUUCUGACCAUAAGUAUAAUAAAAUUUUAAAGGUGCACAAAGUCUCAUCACUUUAGAUAUUUAAAACUAGGUUGAAAAAACCCUUAGGAAACACACAUUACAGUGGACAGCCCUGCUGAGAGAGCAGGAAAUAGGGGAAAAAAAAACAACAAACCCCAAACCCAAAUAAAACCCCCAGGUUUUUUAUGCUAGCUCUAUGAAAAUCCUGGCUAUUAAACUCCCAAGGAUAGCACAACUCUUUUCUCUAGGGCUGUGAAGAUAGAAUUUAUUGUCCAUUUGGAACGAUCAAGUUUAGGCUAAUAAAAGGCCCUCUGUAAGCAGAAGUGCCCAAGUUGAUGUUUGGCAGAGUUUUCAAUGGUAGAGUUUAUAUAGGAUGGGGGCUCUGCGCUAUUCGAAAUUACUCAUCUCUCAGCAGCCGAGGAUGAGUUGACAUACAGAAGUAAACGUUAGUAGGCAACGGCUGAAGGUUAAUCAGCAUUGCUUUCUGAACUGGAGGGUUGAAAGCAGGAAGAAGUGAAAGCUGCUCUCUCGAGCCCUUCCUUUUGCUAAGGUGCUGCUAACUUUUAUGCUUUUUCUCUCCCCCCCUCCUCUCUUCCUCUUUUACUAUCUGUCUUUGUGCCUGAGGGCCAGUGAAAGAACACUGCAGAUUCUAGAUUGCUUUCAGAGUUUCCCUUUGCUGAUGAUGGAUUACCAUGUCAAUUUAAACGGCAUAGGAUUAAUUUGUUUCAAUGAUUUCUCUUUAGGCUGAAUGCCAGUCUUUUUUUUCCUGUCUUUCUCUUUGCUCUUAAUAAUAAUAACAAUAAUAAUAAUAAAAAAAUCCUUAAAAACCCCAAACACUUUUGAUCUCCCACAUUAAAAAGACAAUAAUAGAAACAGACAAGUUAGGUGUAAUGUUGCAAAACAGUUGUAGGUUUGAGUGUUUUUAUCUCAUUCUAAGGGGCUGAAGCAUACAGUCAGUCACAUUAAAAUGAAAUUGGAUCCAACGUUUAUUCAAUAAAUACUUGUCUUGUAGGUAAUCCAGAGCAGAGUGCUUUUGACACAUAAGGACUUAAUUUGUCUUGGAUAACAAGUUAUUAAUAUGGCACAUUUAAACUUGCCACCUACAAUAAGGUCAUUUAGAUCUAUAAUACGACUCGCAAGAGAACUUCAUAAAGCCAGAAACAAAGUUUGAGGCUGCCUCCGAGUUGUGGAGCAGAACGUGGUUUGCUCUUUUCAGCAGAAAGUUCAGAGCCAGUAAGAGCUACCCAAACCCAAGUGGUGUGCAUCUGCUCUCCUUUGGAAGGCAAACGUAAAUGGAGUAAGGAGGGGAGAGGGAAAAAAAAGAACCCAAACACACGUUUUUGAAUGAGUAAGCUCGAAAGCUGCGCUGCGUCUGCUAGCAAACUCAUCGCAGCUUUGGGAGUGAAAAAACAACAUUUGGUUCCGAGUGGAAAUUCGCCUGCGUUUGCACCCUACCUCUUCCAUGUGCUUUGCAAUUUACUUGCCUUUAAUAAUAAGCGAGGAAGUUGGAACAUAAUCCACCCAUAAAUGUUAUUGCUGUAAUUUGACUGUGCUGUGUUUGUUCAUGCAUUAGCCGUAUAUGUAACGCGAAGUGGGGAUGUAUGGUGGUGAUCCCCGUGCAGCCUGAACAAACAGAGAUGUUUUGGUACAUACUGGAUUUCAACCCCCAAAUGCUCUGCAAUCUGGGAAGCUGGAGGUGGGGUGUUUAGUUUCAGACCUGUCCUAACCAAACAAUGCCUGCAUGAGGUGCAUCAGGAGCGGAAUAUCGGGGGCAUGUGAUGCAGGAUGUGUUCUGUGGCUGGUGACUCGGUGUCCACACCGUUAUGCAUGAGCUUUAUUAUUCUGCUUUGAUGUAUUAAGCUCUUGGUUGCCCCUGCUCUGGCAGAUUCUGUCUCUUUAAGUAACUAAAUCUAAUUUUUAAGCUCUUCCUGGGAAAAGGAUGUUACACAUGAGUAGAAAAAAGCAGGCGAGAAAGGCUAAUUGAAUGAAAAGAGAGAAUUAGGUUAAAAAUAGAGUACAAUCUAGUAUCACAUUUUCACUAGUGUAACCUGAAAUGAAGGUGUCUCCAAGUCCCUAGUGAUGCCAGAGUGUUUAGAUGUUGGGCACAGAUGGAGACACCUAUUGAAAUGUGUCUGAAGAAGAUUAAUAGGACUUGUCAGUGUUGGGAAAGCACUGCUUUGCUGUAAAUUUCUACUAGCACAAGAUGAAUUACCGAUGAAUGCUCAGUUAUCAACCCCAUCACUAUCAUUGGACACUAAAUCAAAUUGAGCAGUUAUCUACAAUCAGAAAAUUUCUUUUAAAAAUAGGCAUACACCUUUAGGCUUAAACUCUUUAAUAAGGCAAAAUCCUCUGUGGUAUGUGUGUGUUCAUGAAGGGAUAUGAUUUAAAGUUUCUAUACAAAAAGCUUCUGUUCAGAAACAAACUCCAAGUUUAGUGUGAAAUCUGAGUUGUCAAACAAUAGAAAUAUUCAGAAAAUACUGGUUAUAUGAUACAAUGUUCUGCUGGGGGCCUGAUCCAAAAUGGAUUUUUGUGCAUGUCAUUGAAUUUUGGAUCUGUCCCUAUUUGUGAGAGGUUUUUCUUUCAUCCCUCCUCUCCCCUUAUUUUUGGUGAUGAUAAAAAAACUUCUCUCUACCUUAAAGACUGAGCAUCCAAGAUCACAUACAAAUGCAGAAUAGCUGUCAAGACUCAGGAUUUAUGUAUCAUAAUAAUACCACCCCCCAACUUAUUUAUGAAAUUACAGCUUAACAUAAUGAAACAUGCGAUGAAAGAAUCAAUGAAUAAUAUGUUAACUGAGAAUAUUUCCUUCUAUCCUUUAUAAGAGGGGAAACUGUCACAAGAAAAACUAUCAUAAACAUUUACCAUCCUGCUGCUGAAGUACAUUACCUGUACUUACUGUGUGAUGUUGAUGAUGACAAUGAUAUUAAAUAAGCAUCCUCUAUCUUUAGUUUCUAGGAUUUCUUUCCCUCUUACCCAGGCAUUGUGCUACUUUAUCCAAGGAGAUUUAUCGUGGCGUAUUUUCAGAAGUCAAUUUUUACCUUUUAUUAUAGACAAGGGCAGUCAUUUAUGUUUAGGGAGGGAGACAGGUACAGUGCCUUUAUCAGAUCUGUGUCCCCAGCCACAGCUCCCUUCUUAAUCGAUGGCAAAUUCCCACUCUGGAGGAUCGGGCCCUAUCUGGGCUGCUUCUCAGCCCAGGAAUGUAUCCUUCCCUUCACCUCCACAUAUCUUACCUGUGAUGUAUGCUACUUUUUGAGGAGGGAAUAAUACGCUAUUUACCACAAAGUGCAGCUUCAAAGCCUUUGUGUGUUUCUCAUCUCCAGCCAAAAGCUUAUUAUUUACCACCUCAUAAAUUUACCCGGGUGAGGGAUAGUAGCAGUUAUUGUCUCCAGUUUUACAUCCUAAUUUUCACACACCAAAAUGCCCUGUAUUAGGGCCAGAUUCUUACUCAGAUGGAAGUUAUUAACUUUAGCAGAACAGAGCCGAUUUCAGCCAGCCACAGCCCGUGCCCUUCCAACACAGUCACUUUACAGCGUCCCCUUGUUUAUUUUUUCCUUUGGAGGGCAUGAUUCGUUAAACAUGUUUGUUUUACACAGAGCAGCAGUUGAUUCCUAACUUCCCCCCCCCCCCCCCCCAUAUAAAGAGAAUAUUAAUAGAGAAUAUUAAUAGAGCUGAGUGCGGUGUGAUGCUAGUUAGAUUGUAGUAGCUGAGAAAUAUGAACUAGCGAACAUAAUCCAUAAACUCCAUUUGGUUACUAUAAUACUCCAAUCUGUAUUUAUUACAACCCCACUCUGAUGCUUAUACAACUGCAAUUGCUAGAUUUAUACACUCUAAUGGUUUCACAAUAGGAAAAACCUGUGUUCUUUAUCUUUCUUUUCCUGUCCAAAAUAACCCCUUCCACAUAUACUUCAGGCUUCUCCAGACCUUGUCUGGGUUUAAUCACAGGCUCUGGGACAAAAUGUGCAUUAUUAAGAAAUAUAAAUAUUUUCAGAAGCAAUCAAAGGGUUGAAAGAUUGAUUCGGCAUGUAGAUUGGAUUUAAUUCGAAGCAGCUUUGUUCUAAUGAGGACUACUGGGAUACAAAGACGGCAGCCGCUUAUGGCCACCAGUUGGGAACUUCGACUCGCUGCAGCAACCUGUCAAGAAUUUCAAGGGACUGCCAGGUAUUAAGCAGAGAAGUGAUGGGGAAGCUGGUGGUCUAUUGUUUUCAGCCUCCUUCCGAGGCUGGAUUAAGGUUUCAUAGUCCCUGUUUUCCCAAAAUGACAAUUAAGGUUAAUUUCUUGCUGCCCACAGGACCAAAUCCUGUUCAGGGGGAAGCCCCUCUGGACUUUAUGGGGGGCUUUGCCUAAGGGAGAGGUGGCAAAGUUUGGCUGAGCCCCAAGUCCAGCAAAUCUGAGAGCCCCGUAGUGAUUUGUUCUGCUUCCAGACCUGGUGUGGCUGCUUUUGGUGACUAUUUCUGUUAAAUUUUGCUACCUGUGCUCCUAUACGGCACAGGACCUUUUUGCAUAGGGCAGUGUUUUCCCUGCAGUGAAAUACAGCUCUGUGUUGGCUGGGAAGCUCUUGUGUCCUUGUUGGGUGACCUGGACCUGUCCCGUUUCCUGGGGAAAAGUCUGAGACAUGCAACAAAACAUCCUUGAGGUGAUGCUAAACAAAACGGGACACUCGAUAGCUUUACCCUUAGACUUAAAAGAACCCCCCAGACAGUAAGAUUUCAGUGUGCGCUGUGUGGGGGUGUCACAUCACAGGUAUUUGGGGAGCACAAGACCCUGGCAGCUUUCCUAAGUGUCUAGCGUACAGUCAGAAUCACAGUAUAUACAGGAUCAAACACUGACUAGUUUCUCUCUCCCCUUAGCCCCCCUCCCUUGCCUACUUUUGUCCAUAAAAGCAAGAGAAAGAGAGAAAGCUUGAAUUUUCUGAACUGUUUCACCCAUCCACAGCUGGAAUUCCAAAGCGAAAUGAAAAUGCCUUUAAAAUCAACCCUACAUGGGAGCCUGAGAGAACAAGUUUUCCUUUGUUGUAGGGUAUAGUAUUAUUUGCUGUAGGUUUUUGAUAUACAUUCUAAAUUAGGCCUGCAAAGGAAUGCUUCAUCUUUAAUUCAUCACUCUCAGCUGAAAGAGAUUAGCAAUGUCUAGCACGCACCCUUCGUAUGGUGCUGACCUCAUCAAGUAUGGCCUGAAAUUAAUUAGCCUCAUUCAUUCCAAAUGGAAAAGGAUAAUGGAGCUGCAUUUUAGAGAUGACCAUCACAAAUUGUAUGCAGCAUAUUUAAAAUCCCUCCUCCCCGCCCCCCCAUUCCCCUCCCCAUUAAAAAAACUAUGUAGAUUAAAAUUCUUUCCAGAACUUGCAAUAUGUCAGAGUUAUCGAGGCAUUAGGAGCAGAAACCACUCCGUUUUUAUUUGUGGAACUGGGAGCCACGUUUUGUGUGUGUGGCUGUAAAAGCAGCAAGCCUGUCAUAAAUGGCACAACACCUGGAAUUAAUCUGAUAUUUCCAGGUGCUCUGGCAAGCUGGGGCAUCAAGCGCUUGGUGUUUAAACAUUCUUCUACUGGCUUGCUUAAAUCAAUAUGAAAGUGGUGUCCCUUUGUCAUUCAUAGAUGCAAAGUGCUAGCACAAACUCCAGCUUGGCUUCAGAGUCCUACAUCACUCAUAAUCUAAUUAGAAAUCAGAGCAGAGCCGAAGCAGCAUUCUUUGUGGAUUCUUGGGCAGCAAAUAGGGAUACUUGUCUUUUGUUUCCCUCCUCGAUUGCAUCGUUCACAAGCUUUCACACCACAUCUCUAAAGGUGGUUAGGUGCCUCAAGAUGUUGACAGGCAUGAAGGACAAGAUUAUUUAGGUAUUUAGGUGCCUACCCAGGGUGAUUUCAAAUGGAAUUAAGCAACUGGAUGUUACUGGGGGAAAAAAAGGGGGGGGGGGGGGUGUGCAGGAAAAAGAAAAGCUUCCAAUGCGUAUGAAAAGCUCUAAUUUGUUGUCCUAAACUCUAGCAACGUGGGCGAUGUUUUUCCAGGGUAAAAUUGCCUGCAGGGUGAAUUUACUGAAGUCUGGCAGUUUAUAUUGAGAUGAGUGGGUCCUUGGUUUUGGGCAGUGCAGCUCCAUCAGCUCCUCCCUGGCCAGGCACAGGGGUGGUGUGUGCUCCUGUUGCUUCCCAAGAGACAGGAAAGUGGUAAAGAAUGCAGGAUUUCCCACAGGAAUUUGGAAGAUGCCCGUGUUUAAGACAAUGGUGAGGAUUGAGCCCAAAUCCAGAUCCAGCCUGGAUUCCUCCACCUGGGUAGUCCUGUCUCAACCUACAACUGCUGAUGGAUAGUGGCAACGUGGAUCUUCCUGUCUCCUUACUCCCCAGCACCAGAUCACCAAGAGGGCCUGAGAUAAUACUGAAUGAAGCAUCACAAGACCAUGACUGGAAAGUGUGGGAACCACACAUACAGAGAGAUGCUGGUUCCCUGACUGCCACUGGUUCAUCUCUGUCAUGGCACAAGCUACCAGAGGAUGGAGGAUCAUUGUAAGGAUCAUUCCUGUCCUGGCUCCUCCUCAUCAGUGCUUUGAGCUGUGUGAAGCCCUGAGAACCAAGGCAACAUGAGUCCAUGACCAGAUGCACAUGGAUAUGCUGGUAAACUGCCAUUCAGUCCAGAGGCUGGACAGAAAUAAAUCACCAGAUAAAAUAUAAUAUUCUGAGUGAAAACCUUUAUGGAACAUGCUCUUGCCCCAAACUCCUCCUGGAAUAGGCGCAGUAAUGCUCCCUGAGACCUGGCAGCCCUUCUAAGUGAACAUAUGGUCUGCUCAGCUCUUGCAGUACUCCUGCAUGGUUCCUGAUGCUAAAGGUCUGACCUUAAAAUGUGCAGUGCAAGAAUGGGUGCUGCAGCGAGCUUCUGGCCUUCAACCCUUCCAAAUAGAGCUAUUUUGGUAACCAGAACAGCAUACUCAUGAUGGGUGAGGGAACAGAGCCUUCCAGUGAAGGAUUUCUUGGCACAUUAACUCUAUCAGUGCUGGAUGCUGCAUCCCUCUUCAGGUUGCUUGUGUCUAUUUAAGAUACUAAAUACAGAUUUGCAGAAGCCUUGUAACUUCACGGAUGUGCUUCAGUGCCUGCUGCACCUAAAUAUUAACCAUUUUUCCUGGGGAUUUCCACAUAGAUUUGGGGAGAACUGCAAUCACACACCUCUGUGAGUAGCUCAGACUUGGAUUUCUUGUCCACAGGAGGGGCACAGCCUGGUUUGCUACAAUGCAACUGUCUUCAUUAACGUUCUUCAAGCCCUGAUGUACUGACCUUGUACACCAUCAUUCACCACUGUAGGUGCCAUCUUAAUCUCUGGUUUUGGUAUGACAGACUAUGAGGUCUCACCGAUACUGCACCAUCUUGUUCUCUGCUUCCAGGCUCAGGUCACAGGUUGGAUUUGGAAGCAGCAACUUUCAUGCAGAGAUGUGACUGGUAUCUGGAUACUAUUCCAGGGUAAGUGCAUUUUUGUUUAAUUUGGGUUUUGUACAAUGUAUAAAGUCCAUACAAAGUCUGUUGUUAAUCCCAGCCUAGUUGUGAAAUUGCUAUGGACCACUACUUGUUCAAUGCAAUAAAGCAUUUCCAUGUACCAUAGAAACACUGCUCCAUUCAUAUAUUAAAACUAUUUUACCAGGUCAGUCCUCUGGGAUUUAGCAUUUCAUUCAGAAGGGACUCUAUAACACACACCAGUUGUGCUGUCUCUGGGUUCUGAUGAAUGUGGCGAUUUUCUUAAGCCUAUAUAUAUAUUAAUUUAUUGUAACACUUCUUUCUUAUUUGAACAACUGGAACUUAGAAAAAGAGCUAAAAAAUAACUCUCAGACUGAAUGGAUACUCAUUAUAAUUUUCUCUUUAUUACUUGCAAGUCUUGGAUUACCUCAUGCAACCUUUCCAUGUUGACUACUCUAUUAGCUUUGCUCAGACACAGAAGGUAGUGAUAAUGGAUAAUGUAUGUUACAGGCUUCUUUACAGAUGAAACCAAGGAAGCGUCCUGAAGUGUAGCAGCUACUCAAUACUGGUAACUUACACAACACUCUGUACUACUACUGCUGUUUUGAACCAAUUUAUUUAGUUAUUUGGACUUUACUCAGAUGCAUUCCUUUCCACUGCAACAGCAGUGAUACAUAGGAAGGUGUGUUUUAAACCUUGCAGUCAUUCCCAUCCUGGAUUUCAUGAGGGGUUAUUCUUGUCUCAGAGGUGAAUCAUUUAAAUAUCCUUUUACAGAUUCCAGGUGAGUUACUCACAUUAAGAUGCUUCCAAGUAAUACACAGAAAGGUGCUGAGAAAAUGAUGAGUCUCUGCCUAGUAAAAAGCUCAGCAAAAGUAAGUCCAAGUAAAUUAUAUACUAGCACUCAAAGUCUUCCUAAGGAAAUCUGGGGGCAAAGGGCUUCUGCCUUCAAAAAUGUGUGGCCAACAGGGAUGCAAAACACUUGCUUUUCUGACUGACCCAUCAGCUGCUCUUUGUCCCCAGAAAUGGUUCAGGAAAAGACUGAAAGUAUCUGAAGACAUAAAAGGGAUAAUUAAGUUUCAUUGUGGGAAUAAGAGGGUAAUCUGUCCAGACAAAUGUAGGACUCGGUAUUGAAAACUGUAGUAUCUGAAUAUAAAAAAUGAGUAAUUUUGAAUAAAGAUGUCUAUCAGGACUGUAAAUCCAGAGAGUAGCUUUGCUUAAAAGACCAUCUCUGUCUCCAUCUUCCUCUAACUCAUUUUCUUGUUCUCUUUCUUCCUUUUGAGUGACUGCAAAAACCACGCAUAUAAAAUCUGAUAUUGAGAACGCUUUAGCUUCAUUUCAAUCUUCUCCAAAUGUUUUGUUCUGCUGUGAAGAUUCCCCCUGCGAGAUAACCUUACCCGUGACCGCACUAGGCUUGCGGGACCACUUAUUUGCAGAGAGAACGGCUGUAUUCUGAAGCAGCCAGGUGCCCACUCUUCUGAGGCUCUUAAAGAUGCUUUUGAGCUGGCAUGAGAAAUCACCCAGGACUUGGAAUGGAUCACAAGGUGCUUAGGACAGUAUUUUCAAUGCACCUUUUUUUUGCUGAGCAGAAUUCUGCACUAUAAACCAAUGCGAGUUUUGCCUCAUUCUUAGAUACUGUGAGUUAUGAAAGCCCACUCUAGGUGUAAUGAAUGUAUAGAUCAUUUUGACCAGAUCAUAAUCUAUUAGUAAAUAACGUUCCUGGAAAUGUAUAGGUGAAAUAAAGAACUUCUUGCUACUA